AGUGAACGCUGGCGGUAGGCCUAACACAUGCAAGUCGAACGGCAGCACAGUAAGAGCUUGCUCUUACGGGUGGCGAGUGGCGGACGGGUGAGGAAUACAUCGGAAUCUACUUUUUCUUGGGGGAUAACGUAGGGAAACUUACGCUAAUACCGCAUACGACCUACGGGUGAAAGCAGGGGAUCUUCGGACCUUUCGCGAUUGAAUGAGCCGAUGUCGGAUUAGCUAGUUGGCGGGGUAAAGGCCCACCAAGGCGACGAUCCGUAGCUGGUCUGAGAGGAUGGUCAGCCACACGGGAACGUAGACACGGUCCAGACUCCUACGUGAGGCAGCAGUGGGGAAGAUUGGACAAUGGGCGCAAGCCUGAUCCAGCCAUGCCGCGUGAGUGAAGAAGGCCUUCGGGUUGUAAAGCCCUUUUGUUGGGAAAGAAAAGCAGCAGGUUAAUACCCCGCUGUUCUGACGGUACCCAAAGAAUAAGCACCGGCUAACUACGUG
rnacentral:rRNA from 1 species